CCCAAUCACGCCAUACAUAAGUGCCACGUAAUCACCGUUAAAAUACCACCAAGCAACAAAUAAACAGAGGAGAGGCGUACUUGUCGUGAGGAUACCAUGGGUGUGUGUUUUGUGGUAGUGUUUUCGCUGCGACAAAGAUGACGCUCUGGCAGUUCGAAAGAUCAACGACUUUGAUGUCUUCCAGGUCCAGUGAUGAUAAUAUGUUGAGGAAGCAACCACCAUAGCACCAUCACACUAAAGCGAGAUGGGUCGCUAGGCACCUAUGCUGGGACGAAACCAUGUAACCCGUGUACAUGUUACGUGCAUACACUGUAGGGCACGAAUCGGCGGGGGGAGAUCGUUCCAACAACGCGUCGCAGCGAACCUGAAGGAGCCACGAAAUGCGACUGUUCGAUGCCUCGGUGUGGAGAAAAUGUGGGUGCAUGCUCGUUUCGGAUACUUUCUAUGACCAUCAGCCCACUCCAACUUAUCAUACAGAUAUUUGGGCUUUGCUGCUACAAUAAUGCCAAACAACAUAGUGGCGAGAUGCAACCUCCUGCGCGCCUCCAUUU